rnacentral:rRNA from 1 species
UACGUAGGGGGCAAGCGUUGUCCGGAAUUAUUGGGCGUAAAGAGCGCGUAGGCGGUCCGAUAAGUCGACUGUGAAAGUCUAGGGCUCAACCCUGGAAAGCCGGUCGAUACUGUCGGACUAGAGUCCGGAAGAGGCAAGUGGAAUUCCCGGUGUAGUGGUGAAAUGCGUAGAUAUCGGGAGGAACACCAGUGGCGAAGGCGGCUCACUGGCCCGGUACUGACGCUGAGGUGCGAAAGCGUGGGGAGCAAACAGGG